UGUCUUCAGGGCGGGGUGCAAGUCCCCACCGGCGGUGAUCCCUUGCAAAAGGGCAGCCCGCGAGCAGGCGUUCGCCUGCUGAUUUGGUGUAAAUCCAAAGCCGACGGUUACAGUCCGGAUGAAAGAAGAA
rnacentral:ncRNA from 1 species